rnacentral:rRNA from 1 species
GACGAACGCUGGCGGCGUGCUUAACACAUGCAAGUCGAACGGAAAGGCCCUGCUUUUGUGGGGUGCUCGAGUGGCGAACGGGUGAGUAACACGUGAGUAACCUGCCCUUGACUUUGGGAUAACUUCAGGAAACUGGGGCUAAUACCGGAUAGGAGCUCCUGCUGCAUGGUGGGGGUUGGAAAGUUUCGGCGGUUGGGGAUGGACUCGCGGCUUAUCAGCUUGUUGGUGGGGUAGUGGCUUACCAAGGCUUUGACGGGUAGCCGGCCUGAGAGGGUGACCGGCCCCAUUGGGAUUGGGAGACGGCCCAGACUCCUAGGGGGGGCAGGGGGGGGGAAUUUUGCAAAAGGGGCGGAAGCCGGAUGCAGCAACCCCGGGUGGGGGAUGACGGCCUUCGGGUUGUAAACCGUUUUCGCCUGGGACGAAGCGUGGGUGACGGUAAUGGGGAAAGAAGCACCGGCUAACUACGU